rnacentral:lncRNA from 1 species
AAACACAGAUGAGUGACUUUAAUGUGGGUUCUUUUGUUUUCCUGUUUAAUUUGACUUUCCAGAUUUGCAGUUGAUGAUGUGCUGGCCAACUAAGUCCCAACACCCACGAAACUAUAAAAUGCAAAAGCACAAAGGCUUGGGGAAGAUGGCAAGUUAUAACAGAAUAAAGAAAGAUAUCAGGAGGAACAACUCCAGUUCCAGGAUCUUUUUCCAGAUAUUAGCUGGCAGUUCACCCCUCCUUCCACCUGUAGUACCAGCCAUUCAUGCCACUAUCCUGCCAACAGACUAUAGACACAAACUCAGGUUAAGAAUCGUUGCUGAUUUUUCUAAAAGAGAGACUUUGAUUCCAUUUUACUUCAUGCUGUAAACCUGUGUUUGGAGAAGACAAUGGCACCCCACUCCAGUACUCUUGCCUGGAAAAUCCCAUGGACGGAGGAGCCUGGUGGGCUGCAGUCCGUGGGGUGUCGAAGAGUCGGACACGACUGAGCGACCUCACUUUCACUUUUCACUUUCAUGCAUUGGAGAAGGAAAUGGCAACCCACUCCAGUGUUCUUGCCUGGAGAAUCCCAG